CGAACUCGGAGUAUAACCUGAAAGUGACCAGUAAAAGCACUAUAUCUUUUGGUGAGUGCUUUCAAAUACUGAAUUGAACUUGAUACUUGUACUUGAUACGUGCCAAUAUGAUUACAUGCCACAUGCGUGAAUUGUUAGGGCAAGAGUGUACUUUAUCGCACUUGCCCUUACAUGAUAUAUACUUGUUUAUUGUUGCAAUUGACUUGACAUACAUGUUAUGAUGCGCGCACUUCCUGGAAUUCCAGAAACCCUGUGGCAAGUUACUCUAGUCGAGCCGGCAGGGGCUUGGUCGGUUGGGUAACGAGCCCUGGGUCUCUUGCUUUGUCGAGUGGAGUGAUAUCUCCUCGACUAAUUGGUAUACUCGAGUAUUACCACCCAUGUUUAUUGAGGAUUUUGGGCCCAGUAGGGGGUGUGAAUGGUGGACGGAGAGUAGUGUAAGUGGUGUUCUACUGGAUUGGUUCCUUUACUUGAAAGUUGACGGAGUGUCAACUACUAUGUGAUCAAGCCCUGAUGAUGAAUGGAAGUUGGCUCCUGAGAGCCAUCCGUAUCCUUAUGCUUUGGAAUGAUUAUUGUUUAUUGGAUUAUUGUUUCUUCUGAAAACUUUUACACUCGCUCAUUUUGAGAUUGCUACUUGAAGUGUUAUUGCUCACUUUUAUGAACUUUUCAUGCUCGUUACUUUGCUAUAUCGAAAACUAGUACUUAUAAAUAAUGGUCAAUUUGCUAUUUGGAACCUCACUGGGCUUUUAGCUCACACCACGCUAUUUGUUUUCCUUACAGGGGUACGAGUGAAGCGUGAGAAGUGUAAAGGCUAGCGUAGUCUAGUUACUUUAGACUUUGUUUUGAAUGUUGGUUUUGUACUCGCGCUAUUCCUCGAAUGGAACAUUUUGUACUUGGAUUGUAUAUAUUUUGAACUAGUUUAAGUAUAUCGAGACUUUGUACCUUGAUUUCUAUCAAUGUAAAUUAUAAGCUUGAAUUGCGAAUA
rnacentral:lncRNA from 1 species